CUACGGGGCGCAGCAGUGAGGAAUAUUGCACAAUGGGGGGAACCCUGAUGCAGCAACGCCGCGUGGAGGAUGACGCAUUUCGGUGUGUAAACUCCUUUUAUAUGUCAAGAAAAUGACGGUAGCAUAUGAAUAAGCACCGGCUAACUCCGUGCCAGCAGCCGCGGUAAUACGGAGGGUGCAAGCGUUACUCGGAAUCACUGGGCGUAAAGGACGCGUAGGCGGGUUGGAAAGUCAGGCGUGAAAUCCUACAGCUUAACUGUAGAACUGCACUUGAAACUUCUAAUCUUGAGUAUGGGAGGGGGAGAUGGAAUUAGUGGUGUAGGGGUAAAAUCCGUAGAUAUCACUAGGAAUACCUAAAGCGAAGGCGAUCUCCUGGAACAUUACUGACGCUAAGGCGUGAAAGCGUGGGGAGCAAACAGGAUUAGAUACCCCGGUAGUC
rnacentral:rRNA from 1 species